AGAAAAGGUUGAGAAGAUUUGCUAUCAAUUAGGAAGUCCCAUCUAUUACGUUGAUAUUUUGGUUGCAAUCUAUUCCAUCUUGGUGUAUUGUCUUCAUACUUGGCCACAACAACCCUUCAAAUAGACCAGACUAAACUUGACCUCCAUAUAAACAUUCAAGAUGGUCGGCCUACAUGUCAGAUUUGUAAAUGUGAACGUCACGAUAUCGAUUUUUAGGAUGCUUUAGGGUCAAUGAGUAUGAAAUAAAAUGUGAGACUGUCAAUCUGACAAACCUUGCAGUGAAUAAAUGGAAACAGUGGCGUUUGUAUGAUAGAACAGUAAUAGCAGGAGUGAUAAGGACAGAUGCAUGUAGAUGUGUCUUCAUGUCGGAAACACUAGAGAAAUUGACACAUUUGGGUUUUUCAAAACUUAAAGAAAUUGGAAUACCAGGAGACUGCUUGCCAUUUGCAAUGUUGGAAUGU